rnacentral:lncRNA from 1 species
AUGCAUCUACCCCAAAGCGACCGUACCGGCUUUGUUGACCCUGAGCGCUGGGCCCUGAAAUCGGGCAAGACACUGUUCAUGGCUGAUUGUUUUACACGUGGAGCCCAGGCCAUUGCUACCAAGGAGAAACCCAAGCUGCAAAACAGAGAGGAGGAAACACAAGAUAUUACCUGUGACGCGGGAGGAGGGAACACUUUCUUCGGGCACAAAAAUCCCUCCGCUUUUGCUCGAGAAGCAAAUACAGACUCUAAGCUGGCUGCAAAGGCUGCCGGGCUGAGCUGAGCUCCUACCUCCUCCGCCCCCACUCCCCCUUUCCGCCCAUGGGCACUGCUUCAGCCCCACGUGCAGCAAGCCCACUUUGGGGCUUUGCCCUUGCCUGGCAUGCUGUGACCUGUGCCUGGGUGGCAGGUGUUCAUGGUUGAGGCCUCAGCUUUAAUGUCACCGCCUCGGAAAAGCCUCCUCUGACUGCGCCAUGCUAUAGGCUCUGGGCUUUGGCCUGACCUGCAGUUUAGGCACGAUGCGAAAUCAUCACAUCUGUUUGCCGACUCGUUUACUGUUUUCUGCCCUAGAAAGUUUCAUUAGAGCAGGGUUCCAACCUCCAUUCUGCACUGUAUUCCCAGCACAGGGCACACAGUUGGUCCUCAAUAAAUGUGUGUUGGAUGGAUGAAGAACUAAAUAA